rfam:Schistosoma mattheei strain Denwood, Zambia genome assembly, scaffold: SMTD_contig0001639
ACCUUGCUGACGAGUGCCAAAUAAGAUGAAACCCAGGUCCAGGGU